AUUGAACGCUGGCGGCAGGCCUAACACAUGCAAGUCGAGCGGAUGAAGGGAGCUUGCUCCUGGAUUCAGCGGCGGACGGGUGAGUAAUGCCUAGGAAUCUGCCUGGUAGUGGGGGAUAACGUCCGGAAACGGGCGCUAAUACCGCAUACGUCCUGAGGGAGAAAGUGGGGGAUCUUCGGACCUCACGCUAUCAGAUGAGCCUAGGUCGGAUUAGCUAGUUGGUGGGGUAAAGGCCUACCAAGGCGACGAUCCGUAACUGGUCUGAGAGGAUGAUCAGUCACACUGGGACUGAGACACGGUCCAGACUCCUACGGGAGGCAGCAGUGGGGAAUAUUGGACAAUGGGCGAAAGCCUGAUCCAGCCAUGCCGCGUGUGUGAAGAAGGUCUUCGGAUUGUAAAGCACUUUAAGUUGGGAGGAAGGGCAGUAAGUUAAGACCUUGCUGUUUUGACGUUACCAACAGAAUAAGCACCGGCUAACUUCGU
rnacentral:rRNA from 1 species